rnacentral:misc_RNA from 1 species
UACGAACCGGACAAACGUUAUUCGGAAUCAUUGGGUUUAAAGGGUCCGUAGGCGGGUUUAUAAGUCAGUGGUGAAAGUCUGCCGCUUAACGGUAGAACUGCCAUUGAUACUGUAGAUCUUGAGUUGUUAUGAAGUGGUUAGAAUGUGUAGUGUAGCGGUGAAAUGCAUAGAUAUUACACAGAAUACCGAUUGCGAAGGCAGAUCACUAAUAACAUACUGACGCUGAUGGACGAAAGCGUAGGUAGCGAACAGG